GAUGAACGCUGGCGGCAUGCCUAAUACAUGCAAGUCGAGCGAACAUACCAGGAGCUUGCUCCUCUGACUGUGGCAGCGGACGGGUUAUUAACACGUGUAUAACCUACCUAUAAGACUGGGAUAAUUUCGGGGUAUCGGAGCUAAUACGGGAUAACAUGUUGAACCGCGUUUAUCACCAGUUGAAUACGGUCUUGCUGUCGCUAAUGGAUUGCUCAGCGCCGAAUUAGUUAGUUGUUAAGGUGACUGCUUACCAAGGCAACGAUGCGUAGCCGACCUGAGAGCGAGAUUGGCCAGAUUGGAACUGAGGCAGGGUAGCGACACCUAGAGGAGGAAGCAGCACAGACUCUUACGCAAUGGACGAAAGCGUAACGGAGCAAAGCCGCGUGAGCGAAGAAGGUCUUAGGCUCGUAAAGCUCUGUUAUCAGGGAAGAACAAAAGUGUAAGCAACUAUGAACGUAAUGACGGUACCAACACAGAAAGCCACGGCUAACUCCGUG
rnacentral:rRNA from 1 species